rnacentral:rRNA from 1 species
UAUCAAUUAAUUUUGGAUAGUUAGUAAAAUAACGAGAUUUAAUAACUUGU